GUGAUCUCGGCUCACUGCAACCUCUGCCGCCCAGCUUCAAACGAUUCUCCUGCCUCAGCCUCCAGAGUACCUGGGAUUACAGCUUCCAGUAAACUUUUAAAAUGAAAAAGAAGGCAAGAUUAAAUAAUCUCAACUAUGUGACUGCUUAAAUGGGGAAUGAAAUCAAUUCUUCACAUCUAUGGAAAAACAAGUGAGCCAGGGUUGUGAUUCCAACUGGAUAAAGAAUGAACGUGGAAUUAUUAAUGUGAUGUAACAGAGGAAGAAAUAAGUUUAAUUGAUCAAGUAUUUGCUCAGUAUGUACUAGGAGCCUGGAAAUUGAAGAGUUUUAUCUCUUGGAAUUCCUUAAGAAAAACCUUGGCUUAAUAAUUUAAAUGUUUUCAUGUCUGAAGCAGGAAAAUGAAUUAGCUAUUACAGGUGCAUUCUUGUUCUUUGAUGCUUACUUGUUAGGACAUAGGCCACCCUUCACUGCUAGUAAUGUGUUCUUAGACAGAAUUAAAAUUGAGCCCACAUCACAUUCUCACAGCCAAACUUGUAAAUCU
rnacentral:lncRNA from 10 species